GAUGAACGCUGGCGGCGUGCCUAAUACAUGCAAGUCGAGCGAACGGACGAGAAGCUUGCUUCACUGAUGUUAGCGGCGGACGGGUGAGUAACACGUGGAUAAACUAUCUAUAAGACUGGGAUAAAUUCGGGAAAACGGAGCUAAUAUCGGAUAAUAUUUUGAACCGUAUGGUUCAAAAAUGAUAGAAGGUCUUGCUGUCACUUAUAGAUGGACCCGCGCUGCAUUAGCUAGUUGGUAAGGUAACGGAUUAACCAGGCAACGAUGCAUAGCCGAACUGAUAGGGUGAUCGGCCACGCUAGAACGGAGACGCGGCCCAGACUCCUACGGUAGGCAACAGUAGAGAAUCGUACACAAUGGACGAAAGCCUGACGUGGCAAAGCCGCGUGAGGUAGGAAGGGCUGCGGAUCGUAAAACUCUGUUAUUAGGGAAGAACAUAUGUGUAAGUAACUGUGCACAUCUUGACGGUACCUAAUCAGAAAGCCACGGCUAACUACGUG
rnacentral:rRNA from 1 species